CCUGAGCUCCCCUUCUUUUUCAAUCCCAGGCGUUAUUUUUUUUUGCUUUAUGUAUGUGUAUGGUCGUCGAAUUCCGGCGUGGUGAGGGUGGAUGGCUGCUAGAGUUUUUCAGGCGGAGUUUGGUGAUCGUUGAGGACGAUCUUCAGGGGUCGCUUGGUCUUGACAAAGCUGUGCUCAUGUCUAUUUUCUGGCGUGUAUCUCUCAUCGCUGCUGCUUCAUUUUUUAAGAAGACCUUAAGCGCAGCCUCCUCCUCUAUCCAGGCGUAUGUAUUCUGUCUGCGUGUCUCUCCUUCAAGAUUAGGCAUUAGGGUUUUUUUAGGUGAGGAAAUGGGUUUGGGUAUUGGGUCAGGCGAGUCGACCCGAUUUGGGGUUAGGUAGGGGCUGAUUUGGGUUGGACUUUAAAGGGAAAUUGUAUUGGGC
rnacentral:lncRNA from 1 species